CCUAAAAACUAUAAUAAUUAUACAUACAAAAUAAAUAGAUUUAAAUCUACUUAAUAAAUAAAUAAAUAUAUAUAUAUAUACACACACACACCAUUGAACUUCAUGGGAUACUAAUUAUACGAAACUAAUUUCAACGAUCUAACCGUCAAACUUGUUUGUAUAUGCUUCGAGAUCGCAUUAGCAAAAAAUUACAAAAAAAAAAACAUUCACAGAUCAAGUAACGAGACAAAACUUUCCGACGGUUAUAAACGAAAAAUCACGAUUUAACGGUUAUUUUAACUCCGAUUUUGAUGAGUUUUUACAGCUACACUCCUUGACCCAAUAUAAAUACAAUGAACGAUUUCGAUCUUCAAUUUAAAAUAUUUACACAAGUUAUACUUGAUGAAAGUAUAAAUAAACUCUUAAGUGUUAGUGAAUCAAUUGUUUUGAUGGGAUACGCAUUCUACGAAACUAGUUUCAACGAUCCAACCGUCAAACAUGUUUGUAUAUACUUCGAGAUCACAUACGCCAAAAAUUGCAAAAAAAAAACAUUCAGAGAUCAAGUAACAAGACAAAACUUUUCGACGGUUAUAAACGAAAAAUCACAAUUUAACGGUUAUUUUAACUCCAAUUUUGAUAAUUUUUUACAGCUACACUCCUUGACCCUAUAUGAAUACA
rnacentral:lncRNA from 1 species